rnacentral:lncRNA from 1 species
GAAUCCCAAACAAGUGGAAUCAUUUGACUGAAACGGAAAAGAAAAUUCAUAGGAAGCAUCAUCAAAUGUGCACACAUCAUGUGUUGAUGAUGAGGCCAAGAAGACAACUAAAGAGAAGUCUUGCGAGUGAGAUUGGGAACUCAAAGGAUGAUGCCAUUGUUAUUUCACACGUUCCGAGAAAGAAUUCAAAUUGUCAUCCUUCGAUAUGCAUUAAGAA